rnacentral:rRNA from 1 species
CCUACGUGAGGCUGCCGUGGGGAAUAUUGCACAAUGGUGGAAACCCUGAUGCAGCAACGCCGCGUGAAGGAAGACGGUUUUCGGAUUGUAAACUUCUGUUCUUAGUGAAGAAUCAUGACGGUAACUAAGGAGCAAGCCACGGCUAACUCCGUGCCAGCAGCCGCGGUAAUACGUAGGUGGCAAGCGUUGUCCGGCAUUACUGGGUGUAAAGGGAGCGCAGGCGGGAAGCCAAGUCAGCUGUGAAAACUACGGGCUUAACUUGUAGACUGCAGUUGAAACUGGUUUUCUUGAGUGAAGUAGAGGUUGGCGGAAUGACGAGUGUAGCGGUGAAAUGCGGAGAUAUUCGGAGGAACACCGGUGGCGAAGGCGGCCAACUGGGCUUUAACUGACGCUGAGGCUCGAAAGUGUGGGGAGCAAACAGGAUUAGAUACCUUUGUAGUC